rnacentral:rRNA from 1 species
GAUGAACGCUGGCGGCGUGCCUAAUACAUGCAAGUCGAGCGAACGGGCGAGAAGCUUGCUUCUCUGAUGUUAGCGGCGGACGGGUGAGUAACACGUGGAUAACCUACCUAUAAGACUGGGAUAACUUCGGGAAACCGGAGCUAAUACCGGAUAAUAUUUUGAACCGCAUGGUUCAAAAGUGAAAGACGGUCUUGCUGUCACUUAUAGAUGGAUCCGCGCUGCAUUAGCUAGUUGGUAAGGUAACGGCUUACCAAGGCAACGAUGCAUAGCCGACCUGAGAGGGUGAUCGGCCACACUGGAACUGAGACACGGUCCAGACUCCUACGGGAGGCAGCAGUAGGGAAUCUUCCGCAAAGGGCGAAAGCCUGACGGAGCAACGCCGCGUGAGUGAUGAAGGUCUUCGGAUCGUAAAACUCUGUUAUUAGGGAAGAACAUAUGUGUAAGUAACUGUGCACAUCUUGACGGUACCUAAUCAGAAAGCCACGGCUAACUACGUG